GGCUGCGUUGAGCCAGGGCAUUGCCAAGAAUCGACAUGGGGUUCCUUCAUGUCAACAAUUUGAUCAGAUAGGCUUCCAGGCUGCGCCAAGUUCAUCUGCAACAGUUCCAUUAGGAAAAUCAAAGCCUUCUCGGCCUUCCUUCUGACAUAUGGAUGCUUGAAGACGUUGAAGAUCAGAAUGGUAACACUCAAGUUGAAGAGUAACCCCAGGGGGCUGCAAGUGCGUAAAUUCAACAUGGUGGGCCUCACUCUAAUCAGGCCAAGCAUCAAGGCCUGACUCUAACCUGGUCAUCCGAGUCGUGGACAUGUCUGGUCCGGCCCUAUGUUUCAGGCUUUCAUCUGAAAGCUAAUCAUUAACCGCUGGUACAGAACAAGAGCAUCCGCUGGAAAUCUUGAACUUCAUCUGCUAGGUCAAACUACAAACAAGGCUUUCAACUGAGUGUUAUCGGAUGGAAAGAUUUGUCAUGUGUGUUAGAUCAGACGAUGAUAUUGAACUUCAUCAUUUUUCAAAUCAUUUUUGCAUUUUACAAUGUGCUUGAAAUAUUAAUAAUAAAUAAACUUAAUUGCUUGAAUUGGUAUAAGAAUUUAAGAUAGUAUUUCAAUCAAUUUUUUGCUUGUCUAGAUUUUUUUGUGAAAUCCAAAACUUCAGUGACAUGGUACUUUCGAAAAUUUAUUGAGAUUCCAGAAUGACAAAUGACAAUAACAGUAGACAAGAAUAAGAACACAACAACAAUUUCAUGCAAACUUGUUCAGGAUACCAAUUUGCAUUGUGCAACAAUCAAAUGCUCUAGAAGAGUAAGUUUAUAGUAAGUACCAACCAAAAACAAAAA